AUUGAACGCUGGCGGCAUGCCUUACACAUGCAAGUCGAGCGGCAGCGCGGGGGCAACCCUGGCGGCGAGCGGCGAACGGGUGAGUAAUACAUCGGAACGUGUCCAGUAGCGGGGGAUAACCUGUCGAAAGAUAGGCUAAUACCGCAUACGACCUACGGGUGAAAGCGGGGGACCGCAAGGCCUCGCACUAUUGGAGCGGCCGAUGUCGGAUUAGCUAGUUGGCGGGGUAACGGCCCACCAAGGUGACGAUCCGUAGCUGGUCUGAGAGGACGACCAGCCACACUGGAACUGAGACACGGUCCAGACUCCUACGGGAGGCAGCAGUGGGGAAUUUUGGACAAUGGGCGCAAGCCUGAUCCAGCCAUGCCGCGUGAGUGAAGAAGGCCUUCGGGUUGUAAAGCUCUUUCGGCGGGGACGAAACGGUCCGUGCCAACACCACGGACUAAUGACAGUACUCGCAGAAGAAGCACCGGCUAACUACGUGC
rnacentral:rRNA from 1 species